GACGAACCGUGCGAACGUUGUUCGGAUUCACUGGGCUUAAAGGGCGCGUAGGCGGGUGAUCAAGUCCGGGGUGAAAUCCUUCAGCUCAACUGGAGAAUAGCCUUGGAUACUGGUCGCCUCGAGGGAGGUAGGGGCGGGCGGAACUUCCGGUGGAGCGGUGAAAUGCGUAGAUAUCGGAAGGAACGCCGGUGGCGAAGGCGGGAUCCUGGGCCAGUACUGACGCUGAGGAGCGAAAGCGUGGGGAGCAAACAGG
rnacentral:rRNA from 1 species